rnacentral:misc_RNA from 1 species
AAAGUCGUAACAAGGUUUCCGUAGGUGAACCUGCGGAAGGAUCAUUACAAUACAGAAGCUGUUGGCCGAAAGGCCCUCAGUGAUACCCCAUGUGAAAACCCCAAUUUCGCCUCGGCGGCACGUCCACCCCUUCACCGGGGCGGGCGGUCAGUCCGCCGGCGGCACCCAACCAAACCCAUAACCAUUUAGAAGAAGCUGUCUGAAAUCAAAGGUCGAAUGACUAUAAAACUUUCAACAACGGAUCUCUUGGUUCCC